rnacentral:rRNA from 1 species
GGCGGACGGGUGAGUAACGCGUAGGCAACCUGCCUUAUGCAGAGGGAUAGCCAUUGGAAACGAUGAUUAAAACCUCAUAACGCCGGAGAGUCACAUGGUUUUCCGGCCAAAGAUUUAUCGGCAUAAGAUGGGCCUGCGUCUGAUUAGUUAGUUGGUGGGGUAACGGCCUACCAAGGCGACGAUCAGUAGCCGACCUGAGAGGGUGAUCGGCCACAUUGGAACUGAGACACGGUCCAAACUCCUACGGGAGGCAGCAUG